rnacentral:rRNA from 1 species
GAUGAACGCUGGCGGCGUGCCUAAUACAUGCAAGUCGAGCGAACGGACGAGAAGCUUGCUUCUCUGAUGUUAGCGGCGGACGGGUGAGUAACACGUGGAUAACCUACCUAUAAGACUGGGAUAACUUCGGGAAACCGUACCUAAUACCGGAUAAUAUUUUGAACCGCAUGGUUCAAAAGUGAAAGACGGUCUUGCUGUCACUUAUAGAUGGAUCCGCGCUGCAUUAGCUAGUUGGUAAGGUAACGGCUUACCAAGGCAACGAUGCAUAGCCGACCUGAGAGGGUGAUCGGCCACACUGGAACUGAGACACGGUCCAGACUCCUACGGGAGGCAGCAGUAGGGAAUCUUCCGCAAUGGGCGAAAGCCUGACGGAGCAACGCCGCGUGAGUGAUGAAGGUCUUCGGAUCGUAAAACUCUGUUAUUAGGGAAGAACAUAUGUGUAAGUAACUGUGCACAUCUUGACGGUACCUAAUCAGAAAGCCACGGCUAACUACGUG